rnacentral:rRNA from 1 species
GUGGGGAAUAUUGGACAAUGGGGGGAACCCUGAUCCAGCCAUGCCGCGUGUGUGAAGAAGGCCUUUUGGUUGUAAAGCACUUUAAGCGAGGAGGAGGCUACCGAGAUUAAUACUCUUGGAUAGUGGACGUUACUCGCAGAAUAAGCACCGGCUAACUCUGUGCCAGCAGCCGCGGUAAUACAGAGGGUGCAAGCGUUAAUCGGAUUUACUGGGCGUAAAGCGCGCGUAGGUGGCCACUUAAGUCAAAUGUGAAAUCCCCGAGCUUAACUUGGGAAUUGCAGUCGAUACUGGUUGGCUAGAGUCUGGGAGAGGAGGGUAGAAUUCCAUGUGUAGCGGUGAAAUGCGUAGAGAUCUGGAGGAAUACCGAUGGCGAAGGCAGCCAUCUGGCCUAAUACUGACACUGAGGUGCGAAAGCAUGGGGAGCAAACAGGAUUAGAAACCCGGGUAGUCC